UGAGUCGGCAGGGCGGCCGCGGCGGGUCACACCGCCGAGGAAAGUCCGGACUCCACAGGGCAGGGUGGUUGCUAACGGCAACCAGGGGUGACCCUCGGGACAGUGCCACAGAGAACAGACCGCCUCGGCGCGAGCCGAGGUAAGGGUGAAACGGUGGUGUAAGAGACCACCAGCGCCCCAGGUGACUGGGGCGGCUAGGUAAACCCCACCCGGAGCAAGGCCAAGAGGGCACCGCGAGGUGCCUGCGUGAGCGUUCGAGGGCGGCCCGUCCGAUGCUCACGGGUAGGCCGCUAGAGCCUGUCGGCGACGGCAGGCCCAGAUGGAUGGUCGCCGCGCGGGAGGAGUUCCCGCGAACAGGAUCCGGCUUACAUGCCGGCUCAUCCG
rnacentral:RNase_P_RNA from 1 species